rnacentral:rRNA from 1 species
AACUGGUGAGUAACACGUGGGAAACCUGCCCAGAAGCGGGGGAUAACACCUGGAAACAGAUGCUAAUACCGCAUAACAACUUGGACCGCAUGGUCCGAGUUUGAAAGAUGGCUUCGGCUAUCACUUUUGGAUGGUCCCGCGGCGUAUUAGCUAGAUGGUGGGGUAACGGCUCACCAUGGCAAUGAUACGUAGCCGACCUGAGAGGGUAAUCGGCCACAUUGGGACUGAGACACGGCCCAAACUCCUACGGGAGGCAGCAGUAGGGAAUCUUCCACAAUGGACGAAAGUCUGAUGGAGCAACGCCGCGUGAGUGAAGAAGGGUUUCGGCUCGUAAAACUCUGUUGUUAAAGAAGAACAUAUCUGAGAGUAACUGUUCAGGUAUUGACGGUAUUUAACCAGAAAGCCACGGCUAACUACGUGCCAGCAGCCGCGGUAAUACGUAGGUGGCAAGCGUUGUCCGGAUUUAUUGGGCGUAAAGCGAGCGCAGGCGGUUUUUUAAGUCUGAUGUGAAAGCCUUCGGCUCAACCGAAGAAGUGCAUCGGAAACUGGGAAACUUGAGUGCAGAAGAGGACAGUGGAACUCCAUGUGUAGCGGUGAAAUGCGUAGAUAUAUGGAAGAACACCAGUGGCGAAGGCGGCUGUCUGGUCUGUAACUGACGCUGAGGCUCGAAAGUAUGGGUAGCAAACAGGAUUAGAUACCCUGG